UACGUAGGGAGCGAGCGUUGUCCGGAUUCAUUGGGCGUAAAGAGCUCGUAGGCGGCUUGGUAAGUCGGAUGUGAAACCUCCAGGCUCAACCUGGAGUCGCCAUCCGAUACUGCUAUGGCUAGAGUCCGGUAGGGGCCCACGGAAUUCCUGGUGUAGCGGUGAAAUGCGUAGAGAUCCGGAGGAACACCGAAGGCGAAGGCAGUCUCCUGGCAAGUUACUGACGCUCAGGUGCGAAAGCUAGGGGAGCGAACAGG
rnacentral:rRNA from 1 species